AUGAAGGUCUCGCCCAUUUGUCCCACUUGCUUUGAGGGCUUAGAAGAUACGAAGCAUAUGCUUUUCCGUUGUAGUAAAGAAAAUGGGGUUUGGGAAAGGCUGGGGAUGGAUGAUAUUAUUGAUAAAGCUUGCGAGAUUGACCAUUCUGGAGAGGCAGUGUUAAAGUACUUACUACUUCUUCCGGGCCAAGGUUUGAGGAUAAUGGAUUACCACAAUGUGCGUGAGAUGAUUGCUGUCUCAGCAUGGUAUUUAUGGUGGGAAAGACGAAAGUUGAUGCACAAGGAGAAAACUCAAAAUGCACUUCAGAUUUCAAUGGGGGUUCUAGCCCUUACCACAAACUUCAUAAAUGCAUUGUCCCCCAAGGCUUCUACGAAGGAGGAUGGUCUUGUCCCCCCAGAGCUUUUGUGA
rnacentral:rRNA from 1 species